UACGUAGGGGGCAAGCGUUGUCCGGAUUUAUUGGGCGUAAAGAGCGUGUAGGCGGCUUGGUAGGUCCGCUGUGAAAACUCGAGGCUCAACCUCGAGAUGUCGGCGGAAACCACUUGGCUAGAGUCCGGAAGAGGAGAGUGGAAUUCCUGGUGUAGCGGUGAAAUGUGCAGAUAUCAGGAAGAACACCUAUGGCGAAGGCAGCUCUCUGGGACGGUACUGACGCUGAGACGCGAAAGCGUGAGGAGCGAACAGG
rnacentral:rRNA from 1 species